UACGAAGGGGGCUAGCGUUGUUCGGAAUUACUGGGCGUAAAGCGCACGUAGGCGGAUACUUAAGUCAGGGGUGAAAUCCCGGGGCUCAACCCCGGAACUGCCUUUGAUACUGGGUAUCUCGAGUCCGGGAGAGGUGAGUGGAAUUCCGAGUGUAGAGGUGAAAUUCGUAGAUAUUCGGAGGAACACCAGUGGCGAAGGCGGCUCACUGGUCCGGUACUGACGCUGAGGUGCGAAAGCGUGGGGAGCAAACAGG
rnacentral:rRNA from 1 species